AGGAGGCGGAGGAGGAAGGCGAUACGGUGACAGCGGGGAGGGGGCUGCGCGGGGAGUCCCCCCGGCUCGGCGGGGCUGCCUCAGACCAUCCCCGACCUCCUCCCCGCCGCGCACCGGGGCAGCCCUGCGCGGCGGCCAGCGUUCGUACACGUGCUUUUGCGAAGCCGGCUGGACGGGGUUCGAGCCUGAGAGUGGGAAACGCAGAAAUCUGCACCCUGAGCCAAAUUGCUCAAAGAAGAGCAAGUUCGGUUAUUAUUCAUCUCCACGAGGGAAGUCUUAUCUUCUGCAAAUAUUUGAUACUGGGACAAGUCCAAUAAUUAACAAGAACAAUCAAACAAUUUCACUGCCUUCUUGGGGAUUUAAAAAGUCAUCAUCUGGAAUUCAUGAACAUUACAACCUUUUUUUUUUUUUUUUCCCGUGCUUGGAUAUGUUACUGUAUAUGAUCUUUUCAGUGUGUGUGCGCGUCCCUAAGUGAUUUUACCCUUUCAUGCAAAAAGAUGCAAACCAUUAACAGCACAGAUAAUAUUCACAACUGCUGAUUCAGUGAGACUUCAGACCUCUCCGUAGGAGUGGUGAGAGAGGGUGGUAACUCUGACGGGAAAACGAGAAAAAAAGAAAAGAGCUGGAGGAAUGUUUCUUUCUUGGCUUCCUCCCUACCUCUGUGGCAGGAACUCCCACGGGAGUCCUGUGGGUGGGAUGGGAGCAGGGCAGAUGGGAGCUUGGCCAGCUCUGUUUAGGUGCAAGCAUCAGCUCUCCCAGACAGCCCCAUAACUCCUCACUCCAGAGAAAAAGCCAGGCUGGGAGAGGAAUGGGCUUCUGAGCUCUGCAGCAGCAUUGCUGGCACGGCACAGCCGUGGGGUGCCAGGGAGGCAGCAUGGCAUUCAGGACCUGCAGUGAGCCAGGCAGGACAGACAGGGAGUGGGCCAUGGCCUGGCUGUACCCAAAAACCCGAAACACUAAGCACACUCAAACUUGCCUCUUCUGGAUUAGAUUCAGACUUCUCAGAAAGGCCAAGUGAUAACGCUCCACCCUGCACUGCCCAGUCACCAAACUGUGCACAGAUUCUGGCUCUGGCAGCCAAAGUGACACGUCCUCAGCCCCCAGCUGCUCAUGCAAAUCCUGCCGCUGAGGGCUGCUGACCCUCCGUGCUGCGCAGGCAAUGAACCAGUUCUGGCUGAGCUACAGAAAUGAAGCUUUGCUCCACCUCAGGUCACCUCAGACCUGGGGACCUGCAGCCAGACUUCCAUGGGCUCUCGGGCUUUGUGUGUCCUCCUCACAUCUUCCAGAACCCUUCUCUAUUCACACUCUACCCACACCUUUUUUUUCUUUGCAUAAGCAUUGCCCCCCCCUGCCUUUACUACUUGUUUUAUGCCAACUCCUCCUUACAAUCAUGAUAAAGUUCCUUGCAGUUCAACACAAGAAAGGAGUAAGGGUGGCUGGGUCCAAAACUAAUCUGGUGCAAAGAGAAAAAGCCAAAUGCGGGUGCAUUUUAUUUAAGAUCAAAAGCACAAUGGUGUGAGAUUGUAUUAUGCUCUCCACAGGAGCUGUAUUUUUCUAGUUCUACAAUAGGAUUAAGGUGUUCAGUGGAAAAGAGAAUUACAAAAAAAAAAAAAAAAAGGAGAAAGAAAGAAAGGAAAAAAGCCCCAUUGGACUGCUAGUAGCUGUAUUUGAGUUUGUCUUGAAUAAUGAGGAUAUUUCAUUCCUCAAAGACUCUAGCAUCUUAUUUCCAAAUACUUUUUAAAACAAUUGUGAAUGGCAACAAUAAUUUAAUUUUUACUAUUUAUUGCAAAGAAUUAAUUUGGAGGGAAGUUAUUUGUUUAUUUAAAGAAAGGAUGUUGCCAUUUGUGCAUUGACUCAUUUCAACAUUUUCAGUCAAGCAAAUGCUUUUUAGUAGAACCUACAGACGUCUCCUUAUUUAGCCCUGCAUAUUUGAGUGCACAGGAUGUUGAAUGUUAGCACACGGGCUGGACACAGCUGGGAGCACAGCUUCAAGCCACUUUUCCACCCUGAAUAACUGAAGAAAGCACAAAAGAAAAUUUUCAGUGCAACUUACGCAGUGAAAGGUAGGCUACUGUGUAAAAAUUGCUAGUUAUUUUGAAUUUGAAAUUUGCAAAGCUCUGGCUAACUCUCAGUUUCCCGGCACCAGGGAAGCAUGGCCUGAGCCUGCUUCUGUUCCAGUGUUCAUGGAACAUGAGUGUGGUGAAAUGAAAGGUAUCACACAUCUUUACUGUGAGCAGUGUGCACCUAAAAAUCAAUUUGUGAAAGUGUUCUAUGCACAGCUCUAUGUUGGUUUCCCCCACCCACCCCUGAACCUGCGAGUUAAAGUUUUAUGUAUGAUUCUAAGGGGAAAAAAAAAUUACAGAUAGAUCUCUCUGCUCACACAGAGCUAAUCCGUCUUUAGUUUUCCCUGACUUUUCCCUUCACUACCACUCUUCACCACCUGCUUCUUGCCUCAUCCUCCUAGAAAAUUCAUAGCUCCAGUUUUCUACUCCAUUGAGUCUUGGCACACUCAUUUUCACAAGAGCUGCAGUAAAAUGCCACCUCUCUCACAUGGAAAUGGCUUGUUGCUACCUCUCAGAGGUAUAAGUGCAUUGAACAACAAAACCCAAGUCCUAUAAAACAACAUUAUCUUUGUGCCAGGGUAAUCCAAUCAUUGAGGUACUGAGAUAACCUUAAAGCCAUAUCAAAAUGAAGAAACCACUUAGGAACUUACAAACAUCUGUUUUUGUAUCAGAAAGCAUCAGCACAAGAACACCCUUACGUGGUCCUAAUCAGUCCAAGCACUGCUCUCAUCUUUUACAUUCAGCAUGGCUUAUCUGCUCCUUCGUAAUAAAAUCAGGCUGAUGCUUGCACUGAUUUCUGCUAGUAGGAAAAGCCUCUGUUGCUCAAAUUAAAGCAAUGUGGUUCUAUGCAGGUCUGUUCUCCCGGAGGCAAUGGAGAAUCCCAUCUAUAAUAUUUCAAAAAGACAUUAAAAUAACUUCCUAGGGAACAUAAACCAUGCUGCUGUUGAGCCCCUGGAUAGGGCACUCUUUCCAGUUUCUUGUUAGCUGAUUCCUGAAAUUAAAUGACAGAAUCAUGUUUCAGGCAGGGCAACUGGCAGUUUGGAUCCCACAUUUAGGUCCUAUUAACUAAAUAAGGAAUGUAUUUAUUUUUAGUAGAAGGUGCACACAAAAUCUAAAAGAAACAGGAAAUGUUGAUUAAAUUAAAUGUCAGUGUGGCGUUCUAUAAUUUAAGCUACUGCAGGCACAUGGAAUGAUAAAGAGAAAAGGAAGCCAGCUGAACAAGUUAAGAUACUUGGUUUGAGUUGUCCAUGCUGAGCAAAAAUUAAGUAUUACAAGAAUCUGUAAACAGCUUUCAGCUUCAAUAAUGGAUUAAAGGCACGAGCCACAAUCAUCUAUCAUGCUACCAGUAGUAAUCCAUAGAUUUCAAUGAGAUUACUCGAAUAUAUAAAAAAAUAAUCAUAAUCUAUCAGGACAUGCAGAUGAAUAAAGACAGUCACAAGGAUGGAUUUAAGAAGCAGGCUGGAACUUCAUUAACACAAUAUUUUCACAUGUCAAACAGUUAAGUGGGCCCAGUUCAGGGAUUACAAAGCUACAAUUUAGGGCAGAUCUUCCCUAAUCUCUCUUUUACAAGGAGCUCACAUCUGAAACCCACCCCUCAACCCUUGCCAAGAAAAAGGAGGACCUAAACCCCACAACACUUCAUUUAGGUUUGCUUCUUUCCUAGGCACAAAUCCACUUGGAAAGUUCCAGAUUUGUUUGUUUUUUUUUUAAUUUCAGCCUUAGUCCACACUAAGUGUGACCAAAAGCUUUCCGUCAAUUCCAACAGAUGAAUAAUUAUGUACAUUCUCCUAUAUUCCAUUUCCAAAUCCAACUUUUUAGCCCACCCGUGACCCUGUGGUGCUACAGAGGCCAUCAAAACAUUUAAGCCUCUCCAACUCUGCCCUAAUAGAAUAACAAGCCUUUCUUGAUGCCAGAAUUCCCAACCAAAGAGUCAGCAUCCCAAAAUCACAGAUUACCCAUCGUGAUACAGGAGAGGAUUAAGACCCAAACCUUAAUUUCACUUUUGUGCCUGCCAGAAGUGAGAGGACCCACCCAGGGUCCCAGCUGGAGGUUUCAUGCCUACGUUCUGGCUGUCCCCUUUCCUCCUUGGCUGUUUACCCCACCAGCAGGUUUAUUAAUUGUGUUUUCCAUGGUGGAGCCUCCACUGGAGGCAGAGGAAGCAUUUGCAGGAUGAGAAACCAUGUGGUGAUGCUUGCCUGCGUGGGGACACCACCAGGGAUGUGCCUUGCAUGGCUCAGUGAGGGUCACUCAGGACUAAUUAAUGAGGGCAGGCCAUUAAGACAGCACAGACGUGGAACUUUCAGACCAUCAAGAAAUCAAGGCAUGUGCUCAUGGCACACUGUUAUGCACAGUGGGUGCUUUAAACUCAAACCAAGGCUGCAACAAGGUUUUCAGAGUGAUUUCCAAGAGUUUUGGGCACUCUACAAGUUGAUAAAAAUUGUGGCAUAGAGCUUUCCAAAAGCAGGUGUCUUUCUUUUCUUUUUUCUUUUUUUUUUUUUUUUUUUUUUUUUUUUUUUUUUUUUACAUCUAGGCAUGUUUUCUAAAACUGGUGAUUGAUUGAAAAAAGGAGGUAAUCAAAAUAAUCUGCGACUUCUGAAAAUAGAGGCCAGUUCCUGUGAGUAAGUUUUAGCAGGACUGAACAGUUAGUGGCUUAUCAGUAGCACAGGAACAGGGAUUUGUAUAUACUGUUUUAUUAAGAUUAUUAUCUCUACAGUGCUCCUUAAAUGAAAACAAAAGGAAAAAAAAAUUGCUGUAAAAGGACAGAAAAGAUGACUCACUUUCCCGUCAUUGCCAAAAGCCUCUAAUUUUCAAUAUAAUCAACCUUUGUGCCACAAUAUAGAGCUUUUUUUUUUUAAAUAUAUAUAUAUAUUUCGGUGCAGUAAUUAAUACUAAAAUAAAUGUGAAAAAAAUAGUGUGACCUUUUUAAAAUUUAGCACAUCGCUGUAGGAUUAUUCUCCAGCAUGUAUGCAAAAAAAGCAAACAAACAUAGCAAAACCAAACACAAUUAAGUAAAAAAUGGCCAGAUUUCCAACCAAAAUAUUCUUUCAUACUAAAAAAUCUGUUCUCUGAAUUUGUGGUUAUUGUUUGAAAAAUCAGAGAGCAUAUACAAUUUUUGCUACAGCAUUUCUCAUGCAAAGCUGUUUUCUUGCACUCCCGUCUUUUGUGGAGUAACACAGCUCCUAAUAUCCUUAAAUUACUAUCAUAAAAACAAGAAGGAGAGGAGGUUGCUCUGCAAUGAGAUGUCGUUUGUGUUGGUAACAGGGCAAUCGUUGAUUUAAAAUUGGCAUUGGAGCUGCUUUUGUGAAAUGAUUGCUGGGUUAGUAAAACAACCCUUUAAACUAUCAACAUCUGAAUUUCUGAGGGAGGACUCAGGUUCAGCACUUGCUCUGGUCUGUGUUGCCUAUUAGACCUGCACAUAUUUCUCUGUGUGCAUAUUCUGCUGCUCUGGAUGUAUCCUAUAGCAAAGCUCAUAAGAUCACUGUCUAGAAGGCUCAAAUAGCUUCAUCUUUUACCUUUAAAGAAAAAAAAAAUGGCAUAUAAAUAAAAAUUUCAUACCAACUCAAAGCCUGUUUUACCUCAUGCACCUGCUCACGUGGCUACAGGUAUGCAGUGAAGGAAAAGCAGUGCAAAAUAUUUUAUAUUCUGCUUUUCUAGUGUGUGGGCAUUCAGGCUGUUCACUACAAAUGACUGCACAAGGUGAGAGGCAUGGAGAAUCAGGCCCCAAAGAUUUUUCUAUACUGGAUCAGAUCACUGGUGCAUUAAGUGUGUCACCUCACAGCUGGGUGCUCCAAAAUGAACCCAGCUAUCUGUGCAGUACUGUGGGAGCUGCUCUGGCACUCAGGUUGCAUCCAGGAGAGCAGAGUGGGGUUUGCCUUUUAUUUUCUUGGUGUAUCUAGUCAGAGCUGCUCUUAUUUGGGAUCAAACUGUUCAGACUUCCUUAACAGUUAAACAAGAGCAUCUGACUCUGAUGUAAGACAUGGCAUUAGAAAUUAUAAAUAAUAGCACAAGAGAAAACAAAACAACACAACAAACAUUACUUUCUCACUGGUUUUCUGUGCUUAUGUGGUAUAAGAAAAUAGUCUGCAAUAUAAGAAACAUGUAAUAAGUAUUCCAUGAUCUACAUCAGGGCAUUUUACACUGCAGAGCUAAUUUGGGGAACUUUGCAGCUUCAUAGAAUUGAUUCAUUUAAGUUAGAAAUGUGACUUAAUAGUACAUGAACAAUAAUUAUAUUCAGUAUUAGGGAUUUCCAGAUAUCAGCAACAUGAAGUAGCACAAACACAUCAGCACACAGGGCUGUGAAAACCUUUCAGAGGUUUCAUAUGCUGAACCCAGUGAGAAUCAAACCUCAGCACAUCAAGUCGUAGGCACAAAUAUUCCUAAAGGACUUCAACAUGCUGAUUCCAGCAUCCAAAAUCCAAAGCAGACGAGCAGAACUUAGCACACAUGUUGGAUACAUUGAUCCUGGUUGUCACAUAUUCAAAACCAUUCAAAAGCUAUUCCAUACCUGCUAUCUGACUGAAAGCCAAUAGCACUGAUAUGUGCCCUGAAAUUGCUUCUCUGGAGCUCAGUUUCAGCCACCAAAAAACCCAACAAAACCCACAAAGAAAAUAUAUGUGCCUACACUCACCAAAAAAAACCAAAUGAAAAACACACCCAAAAUCAAACAAAACAUCCAGCCAAAACCCAAACACUUAGGCUGCAGGCUUACAUACUAUUUUUUGAAAGAGUUUCAUUUCAAUAAUAUUUUUAAACAUAUGCCAUGUGACUGGUGAUCCAGCUUCCCCAGUUCACAGAGCAGAAGAUAAAAGCUUUCAGGGAGAGCAGGUGUCCCACCAUCCAUUCACUCUUAGUCAUUCUGAAACAUAAGACUUGACUGCAAGUCUUUAGCCAAAAAAUUAAGGUCAUUCAGAAAAGUAUUUUUUAAUCCUUUUAUUUUUUUCUAUUUUGACAGAACUGCUUCUCUUCAGACAAAAUAAAGAGAUGAGUAAAGCAAUGAUCUAUUUCUGCAAAUGUUUAUGUGAAGAGCUGUUAUUGAUAAAGUUGAAGUUUCACUAGUAAAAAACAGCUUUUUUACUAAACAGCAGGAUUUGUUGAAAUGGGCUGGUUUUCCUUUCUGAAACACCUGUUGUGACCUUCUGCUGAAGGUGAAGAGCCCACAGCCCAUGGCUGAGCACCAGACAGUGCCAGGGUGUGCUGGAAUUUGGGGUGAGCUCCUGGGAGGGAAAGCUGAGGUUUAUCCUUCUGCUGGCACCAGGUUCAGGGCUCUGUGCAGGAGUCAAAGCAGGAAAGAAGGCCACAAGAGAAGAUGUAGACCACAAGGAUGAAAUCAAAAUGGAAACAAGAAGUCAAGUGGCACUCUGGCACCUGCAGAAAGUUAUCUAUUAGACAAAUCAAAAAAUAAAACCUCACUAAGAACCUGUCAGACCAAUUAGAAGUCUCUGAAUGAGUGUGUGUGUGUGGUGGGGGGUGUUUGUAUUUUGUCUUUUAACUGACUUCAAAACAAACUGAAAAGUUUGGAAAAACACAGAAGGACUCUAGUAUGGACUUUUGUUCAGAAAGAAAUCUGCAAUAAAACCCUAUUGUAUUCAUCCUCCAAGCCAGAGGCAGGGCUGGUAUUUGUAAACCCAGGGCAGGGAUUAGAAGCCAGGCUUGCAGACAAAGAAUAAAUCCAAGAGUUCACAGCAAGGACUCUCCAGCUAUAAUAUUCUUGAAGUCCUCCUCACCCAGACACCAGCUGUUUAUAGCUGGAAUUACCUUUUCUCUUUCAUAGAUUCAAACUGAUACUUUCACAGUGAAGGCCUUCAUGCAACUGAUUAAUAAAUUGCCUUUUUGAGUAAGGAGGUUUUCAAAAAGAAAAGUGACUGUGAGGUAACUAAUAUCCAUAGGGAAGCAGACAGUGAAGGAUGAGGGGGAAGGAGGAGAAGGGACAAGAGGAAGAGGCACCAAGGAAGACACAAAGGAGCCCUGAAGAGCAUCAGUCAUCAAGCAGUGAGUUUUAACACUGCUUGCAGGCUGCUCCCAGACUUUUGGGACUUUUCAAGGCUUUCAGAAUAAUUAAAUAUUAGUCUUUGUUUUAUAGCAGGUAAGGACGUUUUUACUCAGGAAUACCUAGCAUCUCCUGAAGCACUCCAGAGCUGGAAAAGCUAUCUUCACCUACUUCAGCUCUCUGUUCAAAGUUACAAUCUUUUUAGUGGCUGAAUUGUUGAAAUGGCACUGAAAACUAAUCACCCUCUGACUCUCACAUUACCUUCCCCUACAACCUGUUUACCCUCCUGGCCCACUGUUUUCCUAAAAGCAGCUUGCUGACAAGUGGCAGGAUUACCAUUUCCAUGGUCAGAGGACAAUGCACAGAGAUUAAUGUCAUUUUUAAGGAAAAAGGAAGGACUUUUUCUGGAUACAUUUAUUCCAGAGAGGUGGUAAAUGCAAUCUUGCUUGUUACUGUAAUUCACAAGCUCAUCUUCACCCCUCUGGUGUAAUCAAUUCCCCGAUGAUCAGGGCUCAGCCAGUGCUUGUGUGUGUGUGAGGCAAUAAGUGUGCAAUGGAGCUCAGGUUCACCCUGGUCCACGAAGCAUGUGAGCAUCCUGUGACUGAAAAUAUGCUCCCUUGUAUAAUCCUGAGAUUAGCAAGUUUCUAGUAAAGGAUGUCAGACAGAAAAGGGAGGAGAAAAAAUGCUUAAGGUAAAAACGCAGGAAAACCCAGCCUAAGGAAUGAACUAAGAGGAUUCCUGCUCAGUUCCAGCUGCAUCUCUGUCACUGAUGCCUCUGUGAACUGGAGUGAGGUGUGACAACUCCUCUGGCUUUAAAAUCCUAAAAACAAGAACCGAAGGAGGUGAAGCUGUUUUAAAGAUCCUUGGCUGUUUAGAAGGUGAGCUGUGCCACUGCCAAUUGAUCAUAAGCAACCUCUGACAGACAGAGGAGGGAAGGUUAGCAGAUCACAAAACACACCCUGCUCAAACUGUGACAUUCAUGAAAAAUGUCACUGGCUGGAAGUGAUUAUCAUCUUGGCAGCUGUGCUUGGUGGGAUUUGGGGUUGCACAAACAGCUGGAAGGUGCUAACUGGCCUUCCGCAGGUGUGUUCCUGGCCACUGGCAUUUUUAAGGCUAAGAGGGGAGGAGUUUUCCAGACAUCCCUCUAUAGGAAGGUACCAUGGGCAUUUUAAGAGUUGCAAUUCCACAGCACACCUGGCAGGGUGACAGCUGGAGUUCCCAUGUGCUUCUAAGAACUCAUCCCACAGGCUUUGUGCAACUGGGAGGCUUCUAGACAGGAUGGACAGUGUCUUCCACUGACAGAGAACAUGGAUAAAUUACCUCAACUAUAAACUCAAUCUGCCAAAUCCUUGUAUUGCAGACUUGGGGCCAGAAUUAAGUUUUUUGGUUUGGGAUUUUACAAUGAAACCUAUUACCCAAACAGUCCUAGCAGCCUCCACUAAGUCCAAAAGAGGAAGCAGCAUCUUACAGAUUUUCAGGUGAAUAUUUGAAUUGACUAUCAAACCUGAAUACAGCUCGAUGGUUGCAGAGUUCUCUUGUUGAUUUUAUUUCUGAAGACAAGACAUGUUCAACCCUAGAGGUUCUUUUGCUUGUAUAAAGAGAGAAAAUAAUCUCUACUGAGAUCAUCUACCUGUCUGUAACCCAGAGUUGGCACCACAGUCCUUUCCUUUGUGGUGAACCCUAUUUUUGGUCGGGAGCAGAGGGGAGGGAGGCAAGCAGGCAACCAAGAAAAAGCUCAAGAGAAAGCCUCAGCUCGUGCACACAGAAGCAUUUUUCCAGAUGGGAUGUCCCCUUUGCUCUCCCCAAACCUGUUGCUCUGCCAAUACCCUCCUCAGGCUCCUCCCAGGAGCUCGGGCAGUGGUGGCUGCCUGGCAUCUGUGGGGACAGCUGGGCACCUGCCCGGGGCUGCUGCAGCUGCAUCAGCUCUGGGCACCCUCCCCUGCAUACCUGGCAUGGCACCAAAAGCCCAUUUGAGUCUUUAGCAAAGACAUUCCCCUCCCUGGUGGUGUUUUGGAUGCUUUCUUGGAGCCUUUGUUAGCUGUGCUUGGAAGGACUCCAGGCAGGCAGAAGACAGAACAGUGCAAAGCCUCAAACCCCACGGUUCACUCGUGUCUCGGGCGGGUUCACGCACGUACUCUGCAGAGGUGGGAGCACAAUUCCUUCCCAGAUCCCUUCCCUCCCAUCCCUGCCUUGUUGCUUUGCAGCAAGGUGGAACCGAGCAGGUCAUCCAGAGAGGUGAUGCAAAGCCCAUUGUUAGUCAAGAAAGGAACAGAGUCAGAGAGCCAAGAAAGGAAUUUGUGUGUGUGCCUACCCGAGGUUCCAACCCACCCUUUGUAUGUGGAUAGAGAACACUACAUAUUUACAGACAAAAGUAACGACAUCUACGACGCUGUUUAAACUUUUGAUAGUCCUAAUUCUGGUUUCUUUACAAGCUGAAGUGUUUGUGGUUUGAAAUCCACAUUAUCACACAACUGUCUUGGUCUCAGUGAUCCCCUUCCUGAAGCAAGUUACUUGUUGCAGAAGUAAAUUACUCCAUAUCAUUUUCUUAGAAGAUUAUUAAAAGAAUUUCUCAUAGCAUUCGGGUUGCCAGUUUGAACUGGGUGGCAAACAAGAGGUGGCAAACUAAUUAACACCUCAGAAAUAUAACAGAUUAAAAGUGAGUACUUCUGUCUCGUUUUGAACCAACUCAAAUACAAUGGAUCUGUAAAUUAAGCUCAGAAGCUGUUGGGGGUGAAUUCUGCUCAGAAGAAAUUAUGUUCAGAGAAGACAGAGAAAACACUGCAAUGAAAAAUAAAGCACAAGGCAGAUCAGAAAUCUGAUAGGAUGAAAUACCUAAAAGAUUACAUGGAAACUAAACAGAAAUAGAUAUACUUUCAUUAAAAGAAAAGAAAAUGAACAACAAUUAAAAAAAAAAAAAAAAAAGAAAACCCCAGCUUUACAGCAGCCCAAACUGAUGGAAGUCCUAUUUCUAUAUAUACCAUAAGGUUUAGUUUUCCUAGAAAAAGAGCUGCUUCAAUUGUCAUUGUAGAAAGGAGAGGCUUUAUAUUCCCUAACAAAAAGUGGCAAGCCACGUGAAUUACUUUCUCCCAGUAAGUAAUUCACAAAGGAUCUGAUUCUGCAAAGCAGUUAUCUGGGUAGUAUUAGUGCUACACCAAGUGCCAAAGAUAUGGUGAGGGCCCAUAUGUCUGCAGAUCCCCCCAACACAGGCGCAUCCACAAGACGUGGGAGGUGGAAAAAGCAAAGCUGAGUGCAGUCCACACCAGCACCCUGAAAUCUUAGAGCCACAAGUGUUUAUACAUCUGCUAGUGAAGAUUAGGCUGUCCAGAUCAUUAAAAUUCAAUGCAUAAGUAGAAAUACUUAAAAUACAAAAGAAAAAACUUUAUAUAGCAAUUUCCCCCCCCCUCCCUCUGAGCUGGUUUCCCUGUCAGUGUGGCUGUGCCAGCUUUAAUGCCUGUUAUUUUUAAUUUGCUGUACAAGAGGAAAGGCAAUCAGGGAAGUUCAUGUGCUCACAUACACUCAUACACAUGCGUGCAUUGAUAGAUAUCAUACAUAAUUUCUCAAAGUAAAUAUGUAGUGAUUAAUUUAAUAAAAGAAAUAAUUGCAAACAGCAUACUGGGUCAUGGGUGACAAAUCUAAUCAUUUACUGAGAGUAAUAUAUGCAGAAAUAAACAAGAUAUAGCUUAUAAGCAAUGUGUGGGAAGUUAGCUAUGAUUCAGGCAAGCGUUUGGAUUUCUUGUUUGUGGACAGAAGGUUGCAAAUUUAACCACUUAACAGACACCUCUCUAAUUUCCUGGUAAUUAAUGAUUUUUGUAAUGGUUAUUAAGGCCUCCAGCCCUAGUACUGUCAGCUCAUUAUUGUAUUUGUGAAUUAAGUGUAGCAGUUAAAAAUAUAGGUGGACAAGAAGCAGCUCCAUCUUAUCCUGGGCUGUUGCAGCACUCUGAACUAGAGCGUGUAACCCCUCUAGUGGAAACUGGGAAAAGUGGAAAAGUGGCUCUAAAGAAUUGCCCAUGGUAAUUCCCAAUUGGACACGGGCAUUCCCAAUUCCUCCAAGAUCAAUAAAUGAAAAUUUCCCUGAUUGUGCAUCCCUUCAAAUGCCCUGUGCUCACAGCAGUGCAGCAUCACUGAUAUUUUACUUCAGGAUGCAGGAAAAGUGCUUGGAAUAGAACGGAGUGAAAUGAAGGAAAUAAGGUUUGAGCCAAGCAUCCUGUUUCACUCCAGUGAGAACACAAUUAAGCUGAGCCACCCUGAGAAGUUUCCUUUCAAUAAACAGCCACGUCAGUUUGAAAGUCCUCUAGAAUACGGGUGCUGAAACAGUGCAAUCAGCAGAGGAAAAAAAGGGCAACAGGUAUAAACUUAGCGUGCCUUUAUUUCUUGGGACACACCUUCCAAUGGGAUGCAUUCCCACUCCAGAGAAAGGGACCAUUGAGUUAUCUGAAUGGUCUCAUUUUCCUCCACAAAUGGGAAUGAGCUGAGACUUGUUAUUGUUGCACAGGGCUGUGGUUGCAUGGUCUGAACACAGAACUCUGAGCCUCACAGUCCUGAGCUAGCCAGGACUUCUGGCCUCAUUCCAGCCACUGGCUGUCUCCCCUCUCAGUUUCCCCACUUUCAAACGAGUGAACAUGCUUAACCCCGAGUUCCUCAAAGCUGAAAUGUACACUCAGCAGCAAAGGAAAGUUAUUAAGUCUAUACACACAGCACGAGUGUGUAAGCACACAGCACUGCCCACCUGGCUUCCAAAAUCCCCAUUUUUACACACAGAUGAAAACUGCCCUAGACACACCCAGCAAUGGCAUUUUUGUGUGCUCCUUGUCCUCAUCAGGAGUUCUUAUAUUGCAAAGACAGCCACUCUUUCAUCAUACAUCAUCUCUAUAUCUAAAUGAAAAGAGUCAAUAACUCUCUGGACAUACUAAAAGGUCACUAAUUGAGGUCAUCUGUAUUGGGGUGAGAGCAGAAACUAUUUUUUGUUCAUUAAGCACAACAGUAACUGUGUAAGAAAAGCUUUAAAUCAUGUUGUGCCUAUGCACAAUUCAAAUGCAGUUAGAAUUAGGUGGUGGACAGGGAAUGCCACAAAUUUGUCACAACAGGACAAUAACUUUCCUUCGUAAAUAACUGUCCUUCAGGAGGAAACUGAAGCCCCCUCAUGGUCAAGCUCAAGUCCUCAUAAAGUUCUCGGAGCUCUUCCUAUUCCCUUUGCACAGCAGCCUGGACUUGCUGAAUGUUAGCGUGGGAUGAUGGCUCCACAUUGCAAAUGCAAAUAGCAAUAUGCUGUGUUGCCCUAGAGUGGGACAGCUGCUGAUAGCAGGAGAAGAGACACCUGUCCUUGCCCACUUUUGCAAAAUUGAGGAGAAG